rnacentral:rRNA from 1 species
AUUGAACGCUGGCGGCAUGCCUUACACAUGCAAGUCGAACGGUAACAGGUCUUCGGAUGCUGACGAGUGGCGAACGGGUGAGUAAUACAUCGGAACGUGCCCGAGAGUGGGGGAUAACGAGGCGAAAGCUUUGCUAAUACCGCAUACGAUCUCAGGAUGAAAGCAGGGGACCGCAAGGCCUUGCGCUCACGGAGCGGCCGAUGGCAGAUUAGGUAGUUGGUGGGAUAAAAGCUUACCAAGCCGACGAUCUGUAGCUGGUCUGAGAGGACGACCAGCCACACUGGGACUGAGACACGGCCCAGACUCCUACGGGAGGCAGCAGUGGGGAAUUGUGGACAAUGGGCGCAAGCCUGAUCCAGCCAUGCCGCGUGCAGGAUGAAGGCCUUCGGGUUGUAACUGCUUUUGUACGGAACGAAAAGACUCUGGUUAAUACCUGGGGUCCAUGACGGUACCGUAAGAAUAAGCACCGGCUAACUACGUGCCAGCAGCCGCGGUAACAC